rnacentral:rRNA from 1 species
AUACAGAGGGGGCAAGCGUUGUUCGGAAUUACUGGGCGUAAAGGGCGCGUAGGCGGCCUGUUAAGUCGAACGUGAAAUCCCCGGGCUCAACCCGGGAACUGCGUCCGAUACUGGCAGGCUUGAAUCCGGGAGGGGGAUGCGGAAUUCCAGGUGUAGCGGGGAAAUGCGUAGAUAUCUGGAGGAACACCGGUGGCGAAGGCGGCAUCCUGGACCGGCAUUGACGCUGAGGCGCGAAAGCCAGGGGAGCAAACGGGAUUAGAUACCCCGGUAGUCCUGGCCCUAAACGAUGAAUGCUUGGUGUGGCGGGUAUCGAUCCCUGCCGUGCCGAAGCUAACGCAUUAGGCAUUCCGCCUGGGGAGUACGGUCGCAAGGCUGAAACUCAAAUGAAUUGACGGGG